rnacentral:pre_miRNA from 1 species
ACAACAUUCGGACCGUCGGUCUACCGAGCAAUAUCACUCGCUGGGUGGAAGAUCUUCCCUCCGUCGU